ensembl:lincRNA Gm13219 predicted gene 13219
AUCAGUAAGACAACGUCAAAGCAACAUUCGUCCUGAAAAUUUUCCCUUGUGAAUUCAAAUGAACUGGGAAACUAGAACAACGGAUCAACUUUGGUCUCUCAAAGUCUCUUCCAAAGGAUCUGCAGAGAUCCCUUUCUGCUGUACCAACACCAUGGGUAAGAGAUCUGACCUAUCUAAGGAUCAAGGUCAGAUCUAUACCUUCCUCUGUGCUCUGGAAACAGCCUGCUUUCUACUAAAAGGGUAUCCUGUGUACCUAUAGAAGCAGUCACAUGCACAGCAAACUGCCCUCUGACUUCUCAUUGAGUCCAGCUCUACCAUCCUCAGUGGUACACUUAGCUACAAUCAAAAUGAGGAAAUUCUGUGGAGGUGGCUUCCAUUUGGGACCUGGUUGAUGGUAUCAUGUACAGAGAUCUCAUACAUGUUAAAGCAGGUGAACUUGUCUUUGUUUUGCCUUGUUUUGUUUUCUGUUACUGUGAUAAAAUAUCCCAACCAAAGCAACUUAAGGUACAAGGGAUUUUUAUGGCUGACAGUUCACAGGUUUAGUCAGUCACCAAGGCAGGGACGUUAGGGAAGCAAGAUUUUGAAAGCAGCUGGUCUCACUACAACCACAGUCAAGAAACAGAAAACUGGGAGAGUUCACUGAUGGUCAGCUCUUCUCUAUUUUAUACAAUCCAGAACCUCCUGCCCUGGGAAUGAUCCUCCCUACACAAAGAUGUGUCUUCUGUAAUCAAUUAAUGAAACCUUCCCCAUAGGCAUGGCCAGAGGCAUGUUCCCAGGUGAUUCUAGAGUUGUCAAGUUGACAGUUAACUACCCAUCACAGAGCUAAGCAGCAAAAGUAGGAAGGUCGAUUCUUUAUAAAUCUAUUUUAUAUCUACUUUUAUGUCCAAGAGUGGCCUGACUAUACCAGACAACAGUCAGAGCUCUCUGAUGCGUAAAACAUCAUAUUUUUCAUUAAAGUCUAUAAAAAUGAGCAUUUAGCUUUGACAUAUUUUUAGUAAGGAAGUGGUAUGCUUGUAUUCUGACAGUCCCCAUUUUUAACAUUGUAUAUGCUAGUUUUAUGCUAAUUCCAACAUGUGACCAACCUGUAAGAAUCGAUAAUUCAGGGUAUAAGGAUGCCCUAGAGUCACACAGCAAUGUUAUAUCUGUAACCAAGUAUGGCACACAGGAUGAAUGAUUCUAACACAUGGUUCACUUACAGAGCACCUAAUAACAAAUGAGCCUGCGGAGGGGGUCUAAGUGCCCCAACACAUUAAGAACUAUUCAGAGCUACUUGGUGUAUUGACUCUACCUCCAGAUAAACAAGAUCAAACAACCUCUGUCCUUUCUCAGCCUUUGUAACUAAUCAAAGCCUGAAGACCACAAAAGUACUUUCUAAUUGGUUUCAUUGUUUUGUUUAUUGUGCUUAUCACAGGGCAGUUAGCAUUUACUCUGACAAUGGACCAUCCUGACAUUUUGGUUGGUUUUAAAUAGCUGUUAAUGGUUGUCUAGGGUUCAUCAUGGCUAGUGAGCUCAUGCUCACUGACUAGGUGACCUUCAAUUAGAAAAGGACUGGAUUUUACCUUGCAGGCCUUAGAAGAUGCAAAUUUUGAUAUGCGGUAUGUGGUAGGUUUGUGUGUGAAGACAAAGACUCACACCUACCCUAUGAAUGCAGCAGUGCUAAUGGAGUAGGCUGCCUGAAUUCUCCACUUUUAUAGUCUUCCUCAUGUAGGAUUUCUCUCUGCAUCCUCUCUCACCUGCUUUGAUGCCUCACAAAAUUCACCCUCAGUUCCAUAGGCUGAAAUAACACAUGACUGCAUUGCUGGCCCACCAGUCACUGUGCUAUCCCUAGGCUCCUUGUCCUUCUUGUACGAUUUGUUACCUACUCAAGUCUUUUUCCACUCAGCUAGUUUCCUAAAAUGAUGCCUUCCUUAUUUGCUUUUCUAGCUUGAAGGUUUACAAAUAGUUCCACCUAGUUUGGGAUGUUUAAAGCAAGACUAAGGACAAGUUAUUGACUUCUUUUCUUUCGUAGAGUGUUUCUGGUGUUGUACUUAAGAACUCUUUGUCGACCCAGAGCUAAUAAUUCUUUACCCAAGGUUAAAGUUGGAGGAAGCAUCUGCUUAAAAAGGAUCAGCAAAAGGAGUUCGGGUCUUGGAUUUGAUAGGCUGUUGAGAAUUACCCUCGGUCUUGUUUAUGGUGAGAAUAACAAGAGUCUAUGAAUUAAAAACCCAGAACUAUACACAGCAAUACUCCCCCAGAACUUCCUAGCAAUCUAAAACAAUUGUUUGUUUCUAACCUUGAGAGUUAAAUUUUUCUACACAUCCAUACUUUUCUGUUCCCAACAGGAUAAGACAGCCCCUGAAUACUAUCCCUCUGUAAAAUCGUGCCUUUCUCUUUGACCUGUUGUUGUUGCUGCUGUUGUUGCUGCUGCUGUUGUUACUUUGCCUCUUCCUCCUCCUUUCCUACUUCUCUUCCCGCUCUCCCUCGUCUCUUCCUUUUCCUCCUCCUCCUCCUCCUGCUCUUUCCCCUCCCUGCCUCCUCUUCUCAGGUGUCCCAAAUAGGAGAGUUAUAUGUGCUCAUGACUUGUGAGUCACUAUGAGUGCUACAAUGAAGACACUGAGCAGCUUUGGAAGAGCUCCAUUUUGCUCUCACUCUCAAGCAAAGGAAGACCUCCAUUACCUCUUUCUGCGAAGGAGGGGAACUCAAAGAAGAGAAAGGAGAACAGAAAAAAAAGCAGGUUCCUCAUGUUUCCCUGUGCUUCUUAUCAGUGCAGUAGAUGAAGACAGCAAACUAAUGCAGCCUACAACUGCCAAACGAAGUGUCACUAGCUGCCAGAUUUUCCCCUAAGAUAGUUUCUAUGGAAAAUAAAAUUAAAGAGAAAUAAGAUAAUGCUCACUUAAGAUAUUGCCACAUUGUUAGGAGCUUGGAAAACCAAAAAGCAGGUAAAUUAAACCUCCUUUUACAGAAAGAUCGAUGUGUCUGCUACUUUGGUUAUCUUAAUAGCAUCUAAAGUAAUAAAUUCUGUCAUAUCAUUUACUUUAGC